rnacentral:rRNA from 1 species
GGCCUUUUGGUUUUAUGAGGGGUUUGGCCUGCUCGGUGUGAUAUUAACAGCCGCGGUAACUUGACCGUGCGAAGGUAGCAUAAUCAUUAGCCUUUUAAUUGGGGGCUGGUAUGAAUGGUUUGACGGGGGGGAGCUGUCUUAUGUGCAAAUUGUGAAUUUCAGCUUACUGUGAGGACGCAGUAGUGGUUGUUUGGGACGAGAAGACCCUAUAAAGCUUUACACGAUGGGGUAUGGUUGGUUUCUUGGUGUUUUGUUGGGGCGACAAGCAGGUUUGACCAGAAGACUGCUAUAUUUGUGGGGAUGUAUCUUUUAGACUCUUAUGUGAUCCAUUUUUGAUAUUAGGACGAGCUACUUUAGGGAUAACAGCGUAAUUGUGUUGGAGAGUACAUAUUGAUAUCAUAGUUUGCGACCUCGAUGUUGAAUUAGGAGUUCUUAGGGCCGCAGGAGGCUCUGGAGAGGGUCUGUUCGACCUUUAAAUUCCUACA